AUGGAUUGUUAAGAUGAAA
rnacentral:miRNA from 1 species